UACGUAGGGUGCAAGCGUUGUCCGGAAUUAUUGGGCGUAAAGAGCUCGUAGGCGGUUCGUCGCGUCGGCUGUGAAAACCUGAGGCUUAACCCCGUGCCUGCUUCCGAUACGGGCAGACUAGAGGUAUGCAGGGGAGAACGGAAUUCCUGGUGUAGCGGUGAAAUGCGCAGAUAUCAGGAGGAACACCGGUGGCGAAGGCGGUUCUCUGGGCAUUACCUGACGCUGAGGAGCGAAAGUGUGGGGAGCGAACAGG
rnacentral:rRNA from 1 species